rnacentral:rRNA from 1 species
CCAAUAGCGUAUAUUAAAGUUGUUGCAGUUAAAAAGCUCGUAGUUGAAUUUCGGGAUCAGUACGCUGGUCGUGCCUUCGGUAUGAACUGGUGUCACUGGUUCCUCCCUUCUGAAGAACCGUCAUGCCAUUCAGUUGGUGUGGCGGGAAAUCAGGACUGUUACUUUGAAAAAAUUAGAGUGUUUAAAGCAGGCUCGCGCUU